rnacentral:rRNA from 1 species
UACGUAGGGUGCAAGCGUUAAUCGGAAUUACUGGGCGUAAAGCGUGCGCAGGCGGUUUUGUAAGUCUGACGUGAAAUCCCCGGGCUUAACCUGGGAAUGGCGAUGGAGACUGCAAGGCUAGAGUUUGGCAGAGGGGGGUAGAAUUCCACGUGUAGCAGUGAAAUGCGUAGAGAUGUGGAGGAACACCGAUGGCGAAGGCAGCCCCCUGGGUCAAAACUGACGCUCAUGCGCGAAAGCGUGGGGAGCAAACAGG